AGAUUUUAUGGCUCAUAAAAUAAUAAACAAGGUUGAGCAUUUCUUCAACUACAGUAAGUGCUUACUUAAAGUUAUGAUUGCUUUCUUGAAAAGCACAACUUUAACUGUAAUAACUUUGAUGCCCAUGAAUCGAUGAUUCACUUAAUGUUAUAGUCAGAUUUAGGUUUCUUUGCACGUUUCUCACUUGGAAAAAGGCAAUGUGCGAGUUGAAAUGCUGUACUAUACAUAUGUAGCACUAUGCAUUCUUAGUUGAAAUAAUUUGCAAAGUAAGUCACUAAAUAUUAAAGAGACACCCUAUUAAUGAAAGGGUAAACAUUUCAGUGGGUUAUUAGUACAAGUAAUUAGAUAGCUAUUUCAAAGAGCUAAGACUAGCAUGAUUGGCUGAAUGGCUUCCUUUGUGCAGCCUAGAAGCUAGUGGGUGCUUCCAAGGUAAUCUUCCGAUAUUUCCCUAACUCCACAGAAAUUCCCUCCAUAUCUCUCAGAAACUUUGCCUCCUAAGUGCAUUCUUCUGCAGCUGUUCCAGUCUUGAAGAUAAAAGCAUUAUUAUAAAUUUUCUUUGGUAAUCUUUCAUCAAGAAAUACUCCAUUGCAUUUAGCUCUGCAUAUUGUAUUUAGUUGCUUCAAUGAUUUUCUUCCUUGCCAUUAUUCACCCUUUGCAGAUAAAGCUUAUUCUUGUCUUGCAGGUGGCUACUCAUGUCCUACAUUCACCUGCAGAUGAGUUUCGAAUAUUCUUUUCUGGAAUUUCCACAGAUUCAUGUCAAUGGGAUUUACAUUGACUUACUGUACCAAAAAUAUCUGGAAUGUUGGGCAAAGCAAAUUAUUCAUUUCCACUUAACCUGUCUACGUUCAUUUAAGUGAUGUUCAUUGUGUGGUUGGGAUUCCUAUUGUGAGACUUCCGUUAGCCAGCAGAGAUUAUAUUAAAAGUGCAGGACUGAGAUCUACUGUGGCUUGGGCUAUGGCAUAUCUUGCUGACAUCAAGUUGAUCAAAAAUAACCAAGGAGCCCAAACAAAACUGGAGUCAGUGGGAGUCAGGGAAAACUCUGCUGUUUGGAACCAUACCCAGCACAAGGGAUGAUGG